rnacentral:rRNA from 1 species
ACACUGACGUCGCGACGCAUAUCAAUAAGCGGAGGAAAAGAAACUAACAAGGAUUCCCCUAGUAACGGCGAGUGAAGCGGGAAGAGCUCAAAUUUGAAAUCUCAAAGGGUUUCCCUUUAUGAAUUGUAGUUUAAAGAAGUGUUUUCUGUUGAGGUUUUGGUAAAAGUUCUUUGGAAUAGGACAUCAUAGAGGGUGAGAAUCCCGUAUUUGACCUUUACUUUCAACUUUGUGGUACACUUUCAAAGAGUCGGAUUGUUUGGGAAUGCAGUCCAAAAUGGGUGGUAAAUUUCAUCUAAAGCUAAAUAUUGGCGAGAGACCGAUAGCGAACAAGUACCGUGAGGGAAAGAUGAAAAGAACUUUGAAAAGAGAGUUAAACAGUACGUGAAAUUGUCAAAAGGGGAGCGUUUGACACCAGUGUUGUUUUUCUGAAAAUCAAUUAAAGAACUGUUUAUGCUAAGUUGUUUAGACUUUAUCAGCUAACUGUUUAGUUUUGAGCUUUUCUUUAAUGCACUUUUCAGUUAACAAGUCAGCAUCAAUUUCUUUUGCUGUAAAAAAGCUUGAGGAAGGUGGCUUGAGAUUCGUCUUAAGUGUUUAUAGCCUCUUGCCUAUGCAGUCGGAGAGAUUGAGGUCUGCAGCGUAGAUCCUUCGGGGCUAAAUGCAUUUGUGCUAAGUUAUAGCAUUUUAUAGACAACUUGCUGACUAUGAUUUGUCUUGUAGCUUACUCGCUUAUGUUAUUUUACCUACGCUUAGGAUGUUGAUGUGAUACUGCGAGCA